GGAAGUAAAAGUUGUAACAAGGUUUCCGUAGGUGAACCUGCGGAAGGAUCAUUAUUGUAUAACCGAGGUGCGAGGGCUGUCGCUGACCCGAAAGGUCGUGCACGCCCGAGUGCCCUCACACACAUCCAUCUCACCCCUAUGUGCACCACCGCGUGGGUCCCCCUUUGGCUUGUUCGGAGGGGGGCUUACGUUUUCACACAAUCUUUGUAUGCAGUGUAGAAUGUAUUUUUUGUUUUUGCGAUCACGCAAUCAAUACAACUUUCAACAACGGAUCUCUUGGCUCUC
rnacentral:misc_RNA from 1 species